rnacentral:rRNA from 1 species
CAGCAGCCGCGGUAAUACGAAGGGGGCUAGCGUUGCUCGGAAUGACUGGGCGUAAAGGGCGCGUAGGCGGAUGGCACAGUCAGAUGUGAAAUUCCCGGGCUUAACCUGGGGGCUGCAUUUGAUACGUGUUGUCUAGAGUGAGGAAGAGGGUUGUGGAAUUCCCAGUGUAGAGGUGAAAUUCGUAGAUAUUGGGAAGAACACCGGUGGCGAAGGCGGCAACCUGGUCCUUGACUGACGCUGAGGCGCGAAAGCGUGGGGAGCAAACAGGAUUAGAUACCCGUGUAGUCCCUGUCUCUUAUAC